rnacentral:rRNA from 1 species
UACGUAGGGUGCGAGCGUUAAUCGGAAUUACUGGGCGUAAAGCGUGCGCAGGCGGUUGUGCAAGACAGAUGUGAAAUCCCCGGGCUUAACCUGGGAAUUGCAUUUGUGACUGCACGGCUAGAGUGUGUCAGAGGGGGGUAGAAUUCCACGUGUAGCAGUGAAAUGCGUAGAUAUGUGGAGGAAUACCGAUGGCGAAGGCAGCCCCCUGGGAUAACACUGACGCUCAUGCACGAAAGCGUGGGGAGCAACAGG